UCGGGUGGUCUAGCUCACAUUUUUUUUGGUAUUUUUCAAUGAUCUGGGGUUACAGCAACAAGUAUGAAGAUCCAAAUGUUGAAUCUUUGUUGAUAAAACAGGGCAGAAAGACAGAGUAAAAGCUGCCUCAAGAAGGGUAAUUUCUUAUACACAAAAAACAGAGUAUUGAAAGAGAAUCAGUCAUUCUGGGUGGUUGGUGUUGAUGACAACGAUACCAUUGAGAUCAUACCUACACAUCUUACUCGUGGCUCUUUAACCUUGACUCUUAAGUCACAGUUUUGAGUAGCAUAAAACUUGUAUAUUUUCCAUACAUAGAACAAAAGCUAUAUAAUACAACUCUUCGUCUCUUGCUUUGUUCAAAGUUUGCUUUUGUUCCCUCUUAAAGUAU